GACGAACGCUGGCGGCGUGCUUAACACAUGCAAGUCGAGCGGUAAGGCCCUUUCGGGGGUACACGAGCGGCGAACGGGUGAGUAACACGUGGGUGACCUGCCCUCAGCUCUGGGAUAAGCCUGGGAAACUGGGUCUAAUACUGGAUAUGACUCCACGGUGCAUGUCGUGGGGUGGAAAGCCUUGUGCGGCUGAGGAUGGGCCCGCGGCCUAUCAGCUUGUUGGUGGGGUGANGGCCUACCAAGGCGACGACGGGGUAGCCGGCCUGAGAGGGCGACCGGCCACACUGGGACUGAGACACGGCCCAGACUCCUACGGGAGGCAGCAGUGGGGAAUCUUGCGCAAUGGGCGAAGCCUGACGCAGCGACGCCGCGUGAGGGAUGACGGCCU
rnacentral:rRNA from 1 species